rnacentral:lncRNA from 1 species
GCUGGCGCACGUGUGAUCGUGACUGAGAUCGAUCCAAUCUGUGCCCUUCAGGCUCUCAUGGAAGGCCUUCAAGUUCUAACCCUUGAGGACGUCGUCUCUGAAGCUGACAUCUUUUGCACCACCACUGGAAACAAAGACAUCAUCAUGGUCGACCACAUGAGGAAGAUGAAGAACAACGCCAUUGUCUGCAACAUUGGUCACUUUGACAAUGAAAUCGACAUGCAAGGGCUUGAGACUUACCCUGGUGUGAAACGCAUCACCAUCAAGCCACAGACUGAUAGGUGGGUGUUCCCUGACACCAAGUCUGGCAUCAUUGUGUUAGCCGAGGGUCGUCUGAUGAACUUGGGAUGUGCCACUGGACACCCGAGUUUCGUGAUGUCUUGCUCGUUCACCAACCAGGUGAUUGCACAGCUUGAGCUCUGGAACGAGAAGUCAAGUGGGAAGUAUGAGAAGAAGGUAUAUGUUUUGCCUAAACA